GGUUUGGUUUACGAUAAAUCUGAGGAACCUCCUGUGGCCUUGGAAGAUGGAAAUGUGAAAAUAGGCAUCUUUCAAGUUGAGGGCAGCAUACCAGUCCCCUGGAUCCAAUGAGGGAAUAAUGGAGGCCAGGGAGACCAUGCGGAACUUCAGUUUCUUGAGAUAACUGUUGUGGCGAUGCAGGUCCAGGAUGGGUUGAAGACCCCCUUUGGCUUUCAGGAUUAGGAAAUAUUAGGAGUAAAAACCCUUUCCUCUUAAGUUCUGAUGCACCUUUUCCACAGCCCCUACGUGCAGGAGGGCUUAGACCUCUUGUGCUAGAAGUUGCUUUUGAGAAGGAUGAAGGGUGGUGGUGGAAGAAAACUAUAGGGUGUAAUCUUCCUCCACCGUACUCAGCAUCCAGUGGCCUCAGAUGAUGAGGGAUCAUGCCAGGCUGAAGUGGCAGAGUCAGUCUGAAAACAAAAAGGGGGCAGAAUCCGAUGCAGGAACUGAUAUAAUGCUCUCAGGCGUACCUUCAAAAGUUUUGGUUUGGGCCACUUGGGUAUCUGUGUGACCCUGGUAGGAAGUUGAGAUAGAGUGGGCAGUUGUCUAUGCUUCUAACUCCUGCACUGUUUCUUGAACAGGUCCUGUAGAGGCAGUGGAGCCAAGACGCGGGCCGGUUGCUGGGGCUAAGGACUGAGUCCUUCUGAGGAGGCCAAUGGGGUGGGGGAGGGGCGGUAUUCCGUCACUUCUGCCAGUUGAUGACGAGGGUCCAGGGAUCAGUGCCAGAUCAGGUAAGUCCUCAUCAAUGACAUGAGGGCCGGUUGGCUCUGGUUAGUACCGAAGACCCUGGAGCCGGGUAUAAGCUCGGGGCCCCAUAUGCUCCAUUCUGCUUCACACACUCAUUGGGAGCAGUGGUUGACCCACUGGGAUUGGCAGACCUGGGAGUGUCAAUAGGUCCCUUCCUGGCUGCAGCAAAGGCCUCUGGGGUGGAAGGCACUGCUGUCCCGCUAACGCCACAAUGACUUCCAGGUGCCAGGAGGUGGUCCCGCACUGGACUCAACAGCACCUGCGACAUGAGCAAGCACUCGAGGAAGAACUGAUAUAGCUAAGUGCUGUACGUUAAGUACGGUAAUCCUGAGUUGAAUCUUACAAGCUGGGACAUACUAUUCCCGUGAGUACAGCAGAUCUAAAAGCUUUGUGACUGUUUGGUGGAUCAUGGGCUGAGCACUCCAGAGGGACACUUGGAGGACUCGGGGGUCGGUGACUGUCUAUCGCUAACCUCUAUAAAAAAAGCAAAGCCUGAAGCUACUGGGGCCAUACAUUUUGUAAAUACUCGCGGGGCCAAAGAGAGGCCAAAGUGUAGCACCGGGAAUUGGAAGUGACACUGGCUCACCAUAAAAUGGAGGAAUUUUCUGUGUCCUUGGAAGAUGGAAAUAUGAAAGUAAGUGAUUUUCAAAGUCGAGAGCAGUGUACCAGUCUCCAGGAUCCAGGGAGAGGAUGAUGGAGGCCAGAGAAACCAUGUGGAACUUCAACUUGAGACAUUUUUGAGUUGCUGCAAGUUGGAAUGGGUCUUAGGCCCUCUUUUGCCUUCAGGACUAGGAAAUAACAGGAGUUGAAUCCUUUCCCUUUCAUGUCCCGAGGGAUCUCCUCCACUGCCCCCAGCUGCAGGAGGCUGCCUACCUUCUGAAUGAGGAGUUUCACAUGAGAAGCACCCCAAAGAGGGAACGGAGUCGGGGGUGGUGAUGGCCGAGAAUUGGAGGGUGUAUCCCACCGAUAAAAUUUCUAGCACCCAGCGAUCCGAGAUAACCUGUGACCAGGCCGAACAGUAGGGACAAAGACAGCUGAGGAAAGAAUGAAGUGAAUCCAGGAAGUUGACUAGGGCAUCGCUCUCGAGUGCACCCUCAAAACGCAUGCUUCUGGCCUCCAUGAUGUUUCACCGGUCCAGAUUGUGCAGGUAAACAGGAGGAGGAAGGGUGGCGACAACAAACUCCUGUCCUUAUUCCUUCUCCUUGCAGACUUUUGUCGAGACUGUCAAGGCCUUAGUGGCGGGGACAUCUGGAACUGUUUAGUCACCAACCGAGGCGUAUGCAAUCCCAGUAAGCCUGAGUGUCCUUCAACCUGUGGAGAUCAUAUCCCUCUGGGAAAUCAUGGAUCAAAGACUGCAUCUCCUGGGACAGGCCUGCGGACUGAAGUCAGGAACAGCGCCUCAUGGCCAUCGCUGAGGUGACCACUCUGGCUGCUGAAUUGGCCACAUCCCAUACCAUCUGGAGGGAACACCGAGCUGCAAUAGUACCCUCCUUAACAAGGGCCCCGAAUUUUUGGGCCGCAUUGUGGGGCAUGGAAUCCUUGAACUCACGGAGGGAGUCCCAUUAGUUGAAGUUAUAUCUCCCCAAAAGAGCCUGGUGGUUUGCGACUCUGAACUGGAGACUGGCCGUGGAAUAAAUUUUCCUUCCGAAAAGAUCCAGUCUCUUGGCCUCCUUAUUUUGGGUGGUGAAACUAGAUUGUCCUUGCUUAUCUUUCUUGUUGGCCGCAGAAACUACCAACGACCUUGGGGGCAGGUAAAAGGCCAAGGCUCAUCAAACAUCGAGAGAGUGGAGUCUACAUUUUUCUGCAGAUGCGUGCAAUAUGGAGAAGAAUAAAGAACAUCAAAGCUGAGGAUACUAAAGGUUUCGACCUGGACCAUGAAGCUGUGAGAAGGAGACCUGAAGAGGUGGUUGGUUCACCCUGUCCUUUAUCGCCGUAGUCAAAGGCACAGGGCAAGCAAGGGCACAUGUGCGGACCAACAGAUACUACUUUCAAAUUCUCUGACUCCGGGCGUAUGAUGCACACGUGUAAACCACAGUGGAAAACAACAGGGACCAUCGCUCAAGGAAGAAGGGGACCACCACCAGACCAGGGUCAGCAGAACUAAUGAGAAAAAACCCUGCAACACUGCACCUAGCCACAAGGUGGCAUAGCAGUUGGCAAGUCAUUUUGCCACAUGAGGGGGAGGGAGAGGACGAGGGGGUCCUGACAGGCUGGGGUCAAACUACAGACUCAUUGAACAAUCAAUCAGGAAUCUCCUAAAACUGCACUCUUGUGGAUUGAUAGUCUUGGUAGGACAGACAGACAGAUAUUACACUUGGAAGGGGUAUGAGCUUUCCUGGGGCAAAACAAGCAAGCAUCAUGGUCGCUGCUUACCAGGAAGACCCGGGAGCAGACCAUGCAGAUCUUGAAUUCUGAGAUCUUGUGCAUCCCAUACAGUGGUGAGGGGGCACCUCACGCCCCUGGACCCUAAAACUAACUCUAAACUAUCAAACUUAUUUAAGAACAGGUAAAACUAUUUAUACUAGACAAUGCUAGAUAAAGCUAUGGACACUGAAGGGUUAGGGUUCAGACUAUGGGUGGUAGAAAGGUACUGGACUAGCAGUCAUUCCACACAUCCCCUAAUAACCUUGGUUCAGAGCACAAGGACGACAAAGGUGCAGGCAUGAACUGACAGACACUGCUAGUGAAAAAUCUUAUGGUCUCAGGCACAUAAACCAUAUGUACACAUUGAGUGGACUACAAAUAGAGACCAUCGCUUGAAGAACCACCAAAGGAUUCUUGUCCCAAACAAUCAGUGAUCAGACAUGUUGCUGCGUCAUGGAAAUUACUAUUCGCAGACUAACACUUGUUACUCAGCUGUGAAGGUUAAAAAGUGCUACUCCAAACAUGAACAGUUACAGACAUUUAAAAGAAUAGUGUGAAAGUCAUCAUCAAAGGGUAAAGUAAGUAAUUCUGAUGCCAAACAAUCAUUAACACACCCAUGAGCUGGAAAUUUCUGUCUGUGCAACACUAACAUAAUGCUGGCUCCAAUCUUUGCUUUUUUGUUGCUUUCAUACCUAGGACCUGAUCCUGAAAACCCUUACUCAUGCGAUUCCAAGAUGAGGCCUCUAAAUUGUAAGAUGUUAUUUUUGGAUAAAAGACAUAAGACGUUCACAGUUAACUGCUGUGAAUAUAUAUGUGACUUUUCAAUGCCAAAACUGAUAAAACUACAUUAUCAUCACCACCAUAUCAUAUCUUCCUUUCAUCAUACUCAUCAAAGGUUUAGGCAGGCCAUAAAACAUGUAAGAUAAAACCAUAAAUUUGGAAAAUACUGGGUUUUUUGGGGAAGAUUAUACACAAAGACUGAAUUUUUAAUACUUAUUGAAUUGUUGUGACAUCAAUUAUAUCAGCUCUUGUAACAGUUACAGGCACCUUCUAAAACUUGAGUCUCAAAGAAUAGGAACGAUGGCUUUCUGCGUGUGUUGCUUCAGUUAGGAAUGACACAGGGCAGUUUGCUCAAGCCUUUUUGAUGAAGAAUUAUGCAUUCUAGUGAUUUUGAUCACUAAAUAAUGAGAUGAAUGCUUUUAUUAUGGAUGAAGAUAUUUUUCUGAUGUUUCUGUCUCCAAUCAUCAAUAAAGAGGCACAGUUCAGAUUUUUUCAGUCUGUGGCAGUGUGUCAAUGAAUAAUGUAUUAAGUUUGGUGUCAGAAAUUAUUUUCUAAAUAUUAGCUAAGGGUUUUCAUGUUAUUAGAUGUUUGUUUUCAACUAAUGUGCAAUUAUACAUGACUGGAAUAGCAUUCCUCAACGUCAAAUGUUAGAUAAUUUCCUUGGGAAUUUCCACUUCUUUUUUUUAAAUAAGUAAUAAAUUUCUACAUUUGUAUUUUGUAAUUUAAUAUAAAAAAAGCAUGGCAAAGUAUGUUAGGUGGAAGGAGAGGAGCAACACAAUUUUUUUGCCUGUGUGACAGAGAAUAGGGUAGCAGCUGAGCCAGCACUCUGGUCACUGCAACUCUAAUUAAUUCUAGAGCAGACCUUAUUAAGAAGAGCUGUGCCUAACUGGUGGGCUGAGGAGAAAUAAGAGACUAACUAGGCCAUCAGACCGAUGAUACAAAAGGCGCAGGAAAGAAGUGGGAAAAGAGGGAAGGAGAACGAGAAAGGGAGAGAAAUCGUUCUCCCCUGCUUGCCUCAGGUGCAGAGGGCUCUCCAAGACUGUAAGGGGUGAGACUAUAUAGUGCUUAAGGGUGGUGGAAAAUAAUAUUGUGUUUUAUCAGCAAAAAGGUCUGAAAGCUGUUUGUGGACUUCAACGGAGGCAGGAUUGAGUGGGCCCUGCCACAGGAUAGCACCCUAGAAACAACUACUCCUUUGCCACCCUCAAUCUGGGAGUGGGAUGGCAUCACCACUUUGGUGCUUCUGUGCCAAUGCAUUAUUUUCAGCUGUUGAUCAAUGAAUCUGCACUGAGGAACUGAAACAUUGACAGGGAUCAUGCAGCAACACAGCUUCCUGUAAUUUAUCAAUCUACAGAUAUCAAUGACAAACACACCUGUGCCUCAUUUAAAAACUUGCUUUCUUUC